AAUGACUUCCAGAUUUAGGGAUAAUGGCUGGAUUAUAUAUGCCGGACCUAUAGAAGAAAUACACGAACUAUUUACAAUAGCUAAUACUACACACCCGCACUUGAAGUUCACCUACGAAUUUUCCCGUAAUGAAACAAUAUUCUUGGACACUGUCAUAUACAAAGGAGAAAGAUUCUUUAACGAAGGCAUACUAGACAUUAAAACCCAUAUCAAACCAACUGAAACAUUUCAAUAUCUACACAGAUACAGCUCACACCCGGACAGUGUUUUCAAAGGAUUUAUCAAGGGUGAAGUAUUG
rnacentral:lncRNA from 1 species